UACGGGGGGAGCAAGCGUUGUUCGGAUUUACUGGGCGUAAAGAGCGCGCAGGCGGUCUUGCAAGUCGCGUGUGAAAGCCCCCGGCUCAACUGGGGAGGGUCACGCGAUACUGCUCGACUCGAAGGCAGGAGAGGGAAGUGGAAUUCCCGGUGUAGUGGUGAAAUGCGUAGAUAUCGGGAGGAACACCAGUGGCGAAGGCGACUUCCUGGCCUGUUCUUGACGCUGAGGCGCGAAAGCUAGGGUAGCAAACGGG
rnacentral:rRNA from 1 species